CAAAAUCAGUUAUAGCUCAGCGCUCGAAUUUAACAGUUUAGUGUGGCAGAGUUUGUCCGCAUAGACAUGAUAUUUACCCGUUCCACAAUCGCCGAAGCAAUCACUUAGUCGAUGAGUCUGCUAAGCAAUCCCAGCGUCGCAGUAAUGUAGUAAAACCAAGUAAAGUUUUGUAACUUCAAAACUGACUGAAACAAAUCUGCCUUGACAUGAAUUUAACGCAUGGGCUAUUUGUUGAUAAUUUAGUGCAAAAAUUAAAAAAACAAAGCUAGUUAAAACAACAUGACAUGAAUAAGAGCUACUGAGUGAAAAGCACCGGGAAAUGUUUAAUAAACAUAUGUACACAAAAACAUACAUAGUACUGCAGUGUUAAACGACUGCAUAUACAUAUGUACAUAUAUGAAAAAACUAAAGAGGCAAAAACAAAGCUUUAAUCGAAUCAUUUGAAUCGUUCAAAGGUUAACUUUUUGUGAUCGACAGCGUAAUGGCGAUAAUAGAGGCAGCCUAUACAAACAGUGUACGGAUUGAUACCGUGUUAUUGUUUGUAAAUAGCUGACGGUGUAAAAUAUCGAAAAAUAAAUUUAGAACCGGCUGAAGUGCAGAGGAAGUUAAUGCAAUCGCGCAACAAAAAUGCAUUCACAAAUGAAAAAUUCUCAAAAAAUCAUAACAAAAGCAAUUAUGAUUUCAAACGUUUUCUCUCACUCUUAAAACCAAACGAUUGAGAGUGAGAAAUCGAACAUUACGACUAAAUUAAAUAUUGUGAUGAGAGUAUAGGGUUGGGGCAUCAGAAGAGAUCACAUUCCGGUGGUAAACUAAAGCUAAUGAGUCGCCAUUUGCUAGCGCGGGUUGGAACAGAAUGGUCAUUCGUUAAAUUCGGCAUGUCGACCUUUUCAGCCCAUUGCGAGUGUGGUAAUCAAGCGACAACGGAAACAACAGCAUAUUAAAUGUUUUAUGACUUUGAAAACAUAAAUAACACAAUAAACAGUACAUGGAUCUAAAUUUGUAAUAAUCGUCGAAACGUAUCGGUGCAUUAUUAAAAAAUUAUAACUGAAAAUAAAAAGACUAAUAAUAUGCUACUCGUAUAUAUGUACAUACAUACAUACGUACGCAAAACAUUAAAUACGUACGCAAAGUGAUUAAAUAGAACAGAAAAGAAUAAUUAACACCAAAGUAUUCAAUGGAAUUCAUUAUUUAUUAACAAAAAUAAAUUAAAAUAAAAUCAAUGUGUGCUACAUGAACCCAAAUUUACAUCUUUUAAGUGCUCGAAAGUACUCAUUCGUAAAUUGCAAAUACAUUUUGUUACUUUCCCAACAAAAUGCUCAUUUAUUUUAAGUUUGGAUUGCUCUUAAUAUUCAUACUCAGUUUGAGUAUUCAACAUACGCAAGCUGCACCUCCGAUACUAAAUCACAACUCAUCAUACGAUGACUAUCCUGAUGACUAUGAUUAUUAUGUUGAGAGCGAAACAGUUCGAAGUGCAGAGAAAAUUACAUUAGACAUCAUUAACCCCGAUUACAAUUCGAUGUCAACGUCUACUGUGGCUAACACAAUUCCAACAACAAGUAAAUCAAAAACAUUCUUUAGUAUAUCAUCAUACAGUUAUCCACGCAGUAAUCAUGUGCUGGAGCCGAGCUGUCCCAAAGCCUGCCUUUGUUUAGAAGAAUACAAACAUAUACUGUGCAAUGGCGCUGGACUGACACAAGUCCCAAAGGAUUUGCCGGUCACAUCUCUUCUCGUCGAUUUAAGCGAGAACUAUAUCGCGGAACUGCAUGCGGAGGAUUUUUCAAAUAUUACUAAAAUUCGUGAAAUCAAUUUGAGCGGUAAUAAAUUGAAAACGAUCAAUAACGAGGUCUUUGUAGGAUUGAAAUAUUUACAACGACUUCGGCUAACUGACAAUCAACUGACACACAUUGAGCCAGACGCGUUUUUAGGCACCGACCUAAGUGAACUGGAUAUAAGUAACAACACUAUAGUAUUGAGAAGUGACGGUCCCUUUCUUACUCAGUCGACUCUACGAAAGUUUGCAUGUCGUAAUUGCAGUUGGAGCCAAAUAUAUGAUGACACGUUCAAGGGUUUAGACGGCCUACAAUCUCUGAAACUGGAUCUCAAUGAUUUCGGAAAGAAAAUCAAUGUAAAAGCUUUUACGCCGCUGCAGAACCUUAUUAAAUUGCGACUGCCUGAAUUGGAAUCGGCAGAAGUCACCGAACUGUGUAAUUUACUAAAAACUAUUGACAACAUAAGCUUUAGAAACUUUGAAAUUAGCUGCUUUGAACUAGUACUGGGGACAUCAUAUAAUGAUAGUAUUACUCUGGUGACAGAUCCACCCUACCUGUCGACGGAGAUAGCCAUAGUACCAACAAAAGUGCCAGAAGAUACAACUACUGAAGCAACGCCGAAAAAGGGAGAAGCAAUAAACAAAGCAAGUGGCGUACAGAACAAAACGGCAAAGGCGGCUACGUCCAAACCAACAAAUACUGCAUCAAUCGUGAAACAGAAGGAGAUUCAAGAAGGAGAUACUAGGAUGCCUGAAGUAAACAACACUUUGGGCUUGACGACAACGGCGACAUUUUCGGUAAUUGAAGAAAGUGCUAAUAACUCUCUAACGACGCCCAAAAUACUAACUGCCAGCAUUUUGAGCGGCCCUGGAGAUGCAGCAAAUAAAGUAGUUGAGAAUAUUACUGUCAAAUCGAUUGUUGAGACUGAGAACAGCCAUCAAGUACAUAUUUCUCAGGAAAUGGUUAACCUCUUGCUUAUAUGUAUUAUUAUAAUAGCGAUUGUUGGAAUCAUUAUUGGCAUAAUUUGUCGCAAAGAUGUGGGCGGCAUUAAGACAAAAUGUUGUCGUACACGAAAACCUGAACCAAAGGAUCAAGUGCAGCCGGCCGAAGAAAUACCUUUAAAUAAACUAGCAUAACUAGAUGUAAUUUCAUAUUGAAAUAGGAAGAAUGUUGUUGCCAGGUGUAUGAAAAUAUACUUUGUCGGAUGAUUUUAGCUAAGUAUUGGAAGCCUGCUUAAUAUGUAUAUAGUUUAUUUAAUAUUUUCAGUAUAAGCAAAAUCUAGAAAUAUUUACUUCUAUAAAAAGAUCAAACUGUUUUUUUUUUUUAUAAUUAAAACAUUCAUAAAUUAGUAUAAUUAAAAUUAUGUACAAAUUGGGUGGGGAAAUAUCCUGACAGUAGCACCGCGUACUUCAGUGUUACGAAAAAGAAAUUUCGAUUCAACAUUUCCUACAAAUCAUUAUGCCGGCACAAUAUACUUAGUAUACAUGUGUGUAACAUAUUUUCUGUUCGAUACCUAGUAGCAAUAGUUCGUAGUCGUUUUUUCGUAUUUUUUUACAAAAAAUAACUGCGUUUACAGGGAAUAACCGCCAAAGUAUAAUAUCAAAAUUUAGAAAAAAACGCUUUUUAUUUUUGAAAUUGUUCUGAUAUGAUUGAAAAAUGCAAUACGAUUUUAUUAACCCUUUCAAAAACUAUGCUUAGAGAAGUGGGGUUUUCACGUAUAUAUCGCACACCCAUUUCAUAGGUGGUGCAACUCAAAAUGUCCGGUUUACCAGAAUACGUGAAAAAAAUAUUUCAUAGCACAUGGGCAAUUGAGUCUUUACCUUAGAAUUGUUCAACUAAUUACUCCAACUUUUGUUGUAAACAUUUUUAGCGCAAAGUUCCAAACCUUCAAAUUAGAAUUGAGCCACCUUUGAAGAGCGUGUGCGAUAUGCAGAGCUGGCUCGUUAAUAUUCGUUUGGGAACUAAAUUACUCUUAAAUGCAAAUUACAAGGAAUUGUAAUCACUAAUCAAUUUAUUCAAUUUAAUUGAUUCCUUUUUCCAUUCCUUAGAAGUAAUUUCAAAAGUAUUUUUUGUUUGUUUUUAAAUUCCAUUACAAGGAAUUGCAUAUUGUAAUCGGAAGUAUGUAAUUAUGUGCUAGUAAUGUGAUUUUUUUCAAUUCCUUUGAAAGGAUUUGAUAAUGAAAGAAUUUUUUUUUUCAAUUCAGUUGAUCGGAAUUAAAAACCAAAAUUUUUGCUUCCAGUUCCAUUCUUCAAAGUAAUUUAAAAAAUCAUCGAAAAUAUUAAUUAAAUUAUUUAUUGCUGUUGAAUUGCAACUUCCUUGAAUAAACAACUUUUACCUAAAUAGUAUCACUAAUUGGACUUUAGGAUAGCCGGAGAACUUAACUUGUAGCUGUUCAGUUUAUGGGUAACUGUUAAAUUUUCUGGA
rnacentral:misc_RNA from 1 species